rnacentral:rRNA from 1 species
UGGGGAAUAUUGCACAAUGGGCGCAAGCCUGAUGCAGCCAUGCCGCGUGUGUGAAGAAGGCCUUCGGGUUGUAAAGCACUUUCAGCGAGGAGGAAGGGUUCAGUGUUAAUAGCACUGUUCAUUGACGUUACUCGCAGAAGAAGCACCGGCUAACUCCGUGCCAGCAGCCGCGGUAAUACGGAGGGUGCAAGCGUUAAUCGGAAUUACUGGGCGUAAAGCGCACGCAGGCGGUUUGUUAAGUCAGAUGUGAAAUCCCCGCGCUUAACGUGGGAACUGCAUUUGAAACUGGCAAGCUAGAGUCUUGUAGAGGGGGGUAGAAUUCCAGGUGUAGCGGUGAAAUGCGUAGAGAUCUGGAGGAAUACCGGUGGCGAAGGCGGCCCCCUGGACAAAGACUGACGCUCAGGUGCGAAAGCGUGGGGAGCAAAACAGGAUUAGAUACCCUGGUAGUCCACGCUGUAAACGAUGUCGACUUGGAGGUUGUGCCCUUGAGGCGUGGCUUCCGGAGCUAACGCGUUAAGUCGNCCGCCUGGGGGAGU